UGGUCGCAGGGGAUGAAGGCUUCGAGUCUGCCUCUCACCGAACGGUUCCCCUCGCUCUCGGAGCAUGCACAGUCUCUCAGCACCUUCCCCUCAGCAGGCAGCAAAGAGAGAGACCCCCUCACACACACCCGCUGCUCCGUCGCCCUGAUAUUCCACUGUAGCAGACAGAAAGGCUAGUCAGGGCCCCAGAAAAUCUUACACGCACACAGAAGUUGGAUAGGAGAAGGAUUUAAGAGCUCCAUGUCCACUGAGGGUUCCAACCCUUGUCCGUGGAACGCUCUCAUUCAGGCACCAAGGGCCUCGGCUUGCGGUGCAGUUCGUCACGUGCUCGUCGCAGAGGAGUCUUCGGAUUGAGGAUUUCUCAGCGGAGAGUUGUGAACGGGCGUCCAAGAGGAUUUUUCAGAUCGAGGAGCUCUCAGUGGAGACCCUGCAAACCAGAGAGCGGUUUUCUUUUCCCCCCCCCCCCAAGGGGCUGUGCCCCUUGGACUGCAGCACAGCUUUGCUGAAAUGUUUCGGCAAAUCUGCGCUGCAGUUCAUGAUUUUGUGCUGUUUUCAUCAAAUUUAUAUUUUUCUCCAGACAGGUCCUGCCAGGUGACGGAGUUCCCGAGAGGUGAGUAGUGUUUGUUCCUGGGGGCAGCAUACCUGGCUUUGGCAUGGCUGUGUUCUUUAUGCUCUUCCUUAGGCACUGAGAUGAUUUAGAAACAAAACUGCCCUUAAGAUGCCCUUAGUUUGGUAGAACUCCUGUCAACAGCUUUGUCUGAAAAGGGGGGGGUCUGUGUGUGGACAGCAUUUGGAAUGGAACUUGAGGGGGUUCUGUGCCCUCCACUGGAUAGCCUGUGGAGUCUGCAAUUUCCUCACUUUGCUGGUUCUACCAGUACGACUUCCAAAAUGCAGGCUUGGGAGAGCUUCUCAGAAGUUCUUCUAAAAACUGUUCAGUUAUCUCCAGAACUGAGGGGAAAGCAUCCUUUUUGCUAAAUUCCAUAAUUAAAGGAUUUGAUCACACCAAUGACCUCUGAGAUAAAAUGCCAGCUUCCAAACAGUGCAGGCUCCUGAACCCAGGAGCUGUUCGUGUGCUAGAAUGGCUAGAGGGGAUUUUUUGGACAGUUUUUCUGGGGAACCAUUUUCCGCAAGCUAAAGAGAACUGAUGCUUGCCAUUUAUUAAAAGAAAAA